ensembl:lncRNA
UAGAUAGUAAAACAUUAUUUAUUCCUUUUAUAAAUCAUUUUGCUGGCUGAAGUAAGUUUUUACUUUAUAAAGUAAAUCCAAUUACUUACCUAAGGGGACAUCCCAGAUUGGAUUUUCCUCUUCUGAUGAAUCAAGGCUUUCAUCACGUGCACAAUCUUCUAAAUCCAUGUUUAUUUGCACGUUUGAGUUGUCUGGGGUUGUAGCAUGUUUGGUCCAAGCUCCAUCACGAAAAAACAUUUGUCACGUCUGUAAGUUACACAACAUCGUUUGAAAACUUUUGUUUCCAGCCAAUGUAACGUUAUGUGUGCAUGUAUUAAAGCGUUUUUCAUUCAAUGUUACAGGAAGCUGUAAGGCGCCUUCACAAUUCGGAAAACAACCCACAUAAAUAUGAUCCACAAACUGGAAUAAGUUUGCCUCGUAACCAAGCAGUCAUGACUUAUCUGCUAGAGGAAUUGAAAACAACUUUUGCAGAUGCAGACCCUGAGUGUAUACAAGCGUGUUGCAAGACAUACUUUGAAACACUUCGGAGAAAGUACAAUUUGUCUCAGCCAGAAAAGUCCCAGCUAAGAGAUGCCAUUAAAACAGGAGCUAAAAACCGACAAAGGAAAAGACGGGUAAGUGUAGAAAUUCAUCAACUUGUCUUUAAAGGGAUAGUUCACCCCAAAUUGAAAAUUCUGUUAUUUUCUUCUGAUAACCACAAAAGAAAAUAUUUUUAGGAAUGUUUGAAAUCAAACUGAUCAUGAGCUCCAAUCACUUCCAUAGUAUUUUUUUUCUACUUUAAAGUCAAUGGGGCUCAUGAUUGGUUGGAUUAUAAACAUUCCAUCUUUUGUGGUUAUCAGAACAAAGACAUUUACAGGUUUGUAACAACAUGAGACUGAGUACAUUGACAAUUUUCAUUUUUGAGUGAACUAUUCCUUUAAGUUUGAUACAUUUCUGGGUGUUUUUAGUGGUUAACACAUUGUGUGUUUUGCAGUUGCUGGAUUCCAGGUCCAAGGUUGUUCAAACCGAUGCAGAGAGAGAGCUUUGGCAGACUGCAACAGUGGAGCUGAUGUCUGACGAGGAGGAUGCCAUUGUUGAUGGAAGGCCAGUGUGGAUUGUGAGGUCUCCAUCUCACAGGAACCCACAAUUGUCAGAACUUUGUGAGGAGCUUCAGCGCAGAUUGGAGGCAGACAUGCGCUACACUAUUUUGCAUCAUCAGCGUGUUAAGGCUGAUGGAAAUGGACAUGAUGGACCUUCCUUUCUUCAACUUUAACUAAACUGCACUGGUUUUUGCAAUUUUUAAUA